GAUUAACGCUAGCGGCAGGCCUAAUACAUGCAAGUCGAACGGCAGCACGGGUAGCAAUACCUGGUGGCGAGUGGCGCACGGGUGCGUAACACGUAUGCAAUCUACCUUUAACUGGGGAAUAACCCCUCGAAAGAGGGGCUAAUACCGCAUAACACUUCGAUGGGACAUCCCAAUGAAGUCAAACCUUCGGGGGUUAAAGAUGAGCAUGCGUCCGAUUAGCUAGUUGGCGGGGUAACGGCCCACCAAGGCAACGAUCGGUAGGGGAUCUGAGAGGAUGAUCCCCACACUGGUACUGAGACACGGACAGACUCCGUACGGGAGGCAGCUAAGUAAGGAAUAUUGGACAAUGGGCGCAAGCCUGAUCCAGCCAU
rnacentral:rRNA from 1 species